GAAGAGUUUUGUUUUGUUUUGUUUUGUUUUAAUCAUUUUGAGUUUUUUUUCCAGACAAGCGCUCACUCUGUCGCCCAGAGUGGAGUGUAGUGGCAUGAACACAACUCUCUGCAGCCCCGACGUCAUGGGCUCAAGUAUCCUCCCAUCUCAGCUUCCCAAGUAGCUGGGACUACAGGCAUACGUCACCACACCUCGCUAGUUUUUUUGGUAUUUUCUGUAGCGACGGCAUCUGGCCAUGUU
rnacentral:lncRNA from 1 species